AUGCUGGCUGGACCCGUGCAGGUGGUGCCUCUGCUGCCGCUGGUAGCCACCGAGCCCAAACAGCCCACGGGGAAAGAAGCAUGUUUACAAGAUGAUUCUACACCUUCUAAGCCAGUGGUGGGGAUUAUUUACCCUCCUCCAGCAGUCAGAAAUAUUGUGGAGAAGACAGCGAGCUUUGUGGCCAGAAAUGGGCCUGAAUUUGAAGGGAGGAUGCGACAAAACGAGAACCACCCUAAGUUCAACUUCCUGAACCCCAAUGACCCUUAUCACGCCUACUACCACCACAAGGUCAAUGAGUUCAAGGAGGGAAAGGCUCAGGAGCCCUCGGCUGCCAUCCCCAAGGUCAUGCAGCAGCAGCAACAGGCCACCCAGCAGCAACUGCCCCAGAAGGUCCAAGCCCAGGUGUUCCAAGAGACUAAUGAACCCAAAGAACCCCCUCCCAAAUUUGAGUUCAUCACUGAUCCCCCUUCCAUCUCUGCCUUUGACUUGGACGUGAUGAAGCUGACGGCUCAAUUUGUGGCCAGAAAUGGGCGCCAGUUUCUGACAAAACUGUUGGAGAAAGAACAGUGCAACUACCAGUUUGACUUUCUCCGUCCACAGCACAGUCUUUUUGAGUAUUUCACAAAGCUGGUGGGACAGUAUACCAAGAUCUUGAUUCCACCUAAGGAAUUAUUUGAAAAGCUGAAGAAAGAGGCUGAAAACCCCCAAGAAGUUUUGCAAAAGGUGUGCUACCGAGUGGAACGGGCUAAGUUCCAGGAGCGUGAGAGGAAGAAGGAAGAGGAGGAGAAAGAGAAGGAGCAGGUAGCCUGUCCUCAGACUGACCGGCAUGGCUUUGUGGUUGUGGGAACAGUGGACUUCCAACCAGUGAGCAAGGGAACUUCCCUCCCCCACCCACGCCAGAGGAGCUGGGUGCCCGAAUCCUUAUCCAGGAGCGCCAUGAGAAGUUUGGGGAGAGUGAGGAGGUGGAGAGGGAAGUUGAGUCUGAUGAGGAGUAUGGCCAAAUCAGUACAGGAGAAAUCAGAGGAGCCUCCUUCCCAGCUGGACCAGGACACCCAAGAGCAAGACAUGGAUGAGGGUUCGGAUGAAGAAGGGCAGAAGGUGCCCCCACCCCCAGUGACAGUCAUGCCUCUGCCUGUGCCCCCAACUCCAGACCAAGUCAUUGUCCACAAGGACUAUGAUCCCAAAGCUCCCAAGUUACUGCCUCCAGUCCCUGGUCCGGAUGAAUAUCUUGUGUCCCCCAUCACUGGAGAGAAGAUCCCUGCCAGCAAAAUGCAAGAACACAUGCACAUUGGGCUUCUCGACCCCCACUGGCUGGAGCAGCGGGAUCAUUCCAUUUGUGAGAAGCAGAGUGACGAUGAGGUGUAUGCACCAGGUCUAGAUAUUAAGAUCAGCUUGAAGUAGUUGGCUGAGCGGCGUACUGACAUCUUUGGUGUAGAGGAAACUGCCAUUGGGAAGAAGAUUGGUGAGGAGGAUAUCCAAAAGCCAGAGGAAAAGGUGACCUGGGAUGGCCACUUGAGCAGCAUGGCCUGGACUCAGCAGGCUGCCCAGGCAAACAUCACUCUCCAGGAGCAGAUUGAGGCCAUCCAUAAGGCCAAGGGGCUGAUGCUAGAACCUGACACCAAAGAGAAGAUUGGUCCCAGCAAGCCCAGUGAAAUCCCUCAGCAGCCACUGCCUCCGUCUUUAGCCACCAACAUCCCCAGUUCAGCCCCACCCAUCUCAGUGACCCAACCACCCACAUUGUUGCCUCUUGACCAUACUACAGUGGUGUCUGCAGUACCCAUCAUGCCCCGCUCCCCAGUGGCAUCUCUGGUCCAACUGCCUCCUGGCUCAGCGAUUGCCCCCUUGCCGCCCAUCCCCAUGCCACACCCAGGAUCAAUGUGGUCCCCAUGCCUCUCUCUGCCUCUCCUAUCAUGGCACCCUGCCCACCCCCAGUGAUUGUGCCAACACCCUUUGUGCCUGUUCCACCCGUGGCAACUGUCCCAGAUCCGGCCCCAAUUCUCCCUAUUCAUCCCCCACCUCCCAUGGAGGAUGAGCCUGCCUCCAAGAAACUGAAGACAGAGAACCGCCUCAUGCCUGAGGAAAAGUUCCUGCAUAGGAACAAGGGUCCAGUGUCCAUCAAAGUCCAGGUACCCAACAUGCAGGAUAAGACAGAAUGGAAACUGAAUGGGCAGGUGCUGGUCUUCACCCUCCUGCUUACAGACCAGGUCUCUGUCAUUAAGGUGAAGAUUCAUGAAACCACAGGCAUGCCUGCAGGGAAACAGAAGCUGCAGUAUGAGGGCAUCUUCAUCAAGGAUUCCAACUCGCUGGCUUACUACAGUAUGGGCAGUGGUGCCAUCAUCCAUCUGGCCCUCAAGGAGAGAGGUGGGAGGAAGAAGUAGAAAGAGGGAACCCCCACUGUCAGGUCCCUGCCUUUGUACCUCUCCUGUCCCUACCCCCUGCUCCAGACCCAGGAGGCCUAUCUUGAGCUUUGCAUUCUGCCUGCAUGUUUUCUUUCCCUCUUACUCACUUUGAGAAUUUAAAUUGUUCCGAGCUUCAUUCCUCUCACCCCUUCCCCACAUUGGUAAGAGUAGCAGGGCUUUCUAAGCCACUCUCUGGAACUCCUCUGUUAGAGUCUUGAUUAGAGGACAUUUCUUCAGGCAGCCCAUUAGGAACUGAGAAUCCAGGGAUAUUCUACAGGACAGUUUCAUAGUGCUAAGAGGUACUUGGCUGAUAGAAUAUGGUAGUUACUGUCUUUAAUAAUUUUA